GCCAAUUUGGUGUAGUGGUUUGAGUGUUAGACUAAGACUCUGGGGAUCAUGGUUCGAUUCACUGCUUGAGCA